UACGGGGGGGGCAAGCGUUGUUCGGAAUUACUGGGCGUAAAGGGCUCGUAGGCGGCCAACUAAGUCAGACGUGAAAUCCCCAGGCUCAACCUGGGAACUGCGUCUGAUACUGGAUGGCUUGAAUCCGGGGGAGGGAUGCAGAAUUCCAGGUGUAGCGGUGAAAUGCGUAGAUAUCUGGAGGAAUACCGGUGGCGAAGGCGGCAUCCUGGACCGGCAUUGACGCUGAGGCGCGAAAGCCAGGGGAGCAAACGGG
rnacentral:rRNA from 1 species